rnacentral:lncRNA from 1 species
GAGGACCAGGCAACGCCCAACAGGGAUGCUGCUCUGGGCCAAGGCCAGAACCCGCCCCUCCACCCUAUCGCCCCCCUCCCCUCGACCCCGCUCACCCUCAGCAUCGCUCACCCUUGCGCACCUUCCAGCCAAGGGGAGGAGGAGGAUGGAUGCGCGGGCAGGAGAGGGGAGGAGGGGGAGGAUGGGAGGGAGGGACAGGGGUGAGGCUGUGUGAGUUGCUGCAGGCAGGGGGGGUGAGUGUCAGACCACUGGGGAAGCACUUAGCCAUCUCUCUGCCCUCGCUUCCUCUGCGUCUCUGGGAUACACAAGUCACACACACCUCACACUCCGCACACCUUGAACCCACUCACACACAGCCUCCCCCACCUCCUCCCCCUCCGACCUCUAAUCCACCCCUGUCUUCCCCUCUGGAAGCCUCCGGGCAAAGGAAACCUCUCACGCCGCUCUGGCAACCACCGCGGCCCCAUUCCCCCGCGGGCGCUGCUCAGCAUUGGCCGAGGGAAGAAGCCGCCUCAGAGACACGUCAUUGGUCCUCCUGGAGUUUGGACCGCCCCGACGCAGUGGUGACGCCGUAUGAGACGCCUCCAGACCGCUGCAUUCCCAUCAGGCCGCAGGCAUCCAGUCAAAACUACAGCUACAGUUGCCAGUCCUCUCCAGGUCACUACAGCUCCCAGCAUGCCCCAGGGCGACACAGUAAUCCCUGCUGUGACCGAGAAGAGGCUGAGCUUUCUGAGCUUGAUUCCCUUUACCAGGCCAGUUUGCUGGCUGGAAAGACAGGCUGCAGCCCAUCGGAGAGGCUCAUAUCCAGGGUGGGAGGGCAGGCUCGCUCCAAGACCCCCAACGCAGACAUGGAGAGGAGUGUGUACGGGGCGGACUGCACCAGCACCCCCACCUACCUCAACAAGCCAAUGAUGUUGCGGGAUUUUGGGGUGGAGCCUGAUGAUGGGGAAAACCUGAGGAGAAUUGGACGCAGCCUGAGCGGCACAGUAGUGACCUCGCGCCGCAGCCGCCUGACUGCAACCCGCAGCUUUGUGAAGCAGGCUGAUGUCAGUGCCUCUCCUUGCUUACUUCCUCUCUUCUGA